CUGGCAAGAUGGUUGCCCGCUACCUGUCUCUAUAUUGAAGUCAGAAUAGCGCAGUGACGUAGGAACCAGCCUGACGUCAUUUAGAGCAGGUUGUCCAGUCUAGGCGGACUGUUACCUCGUCAAUGUUCCAAACGAAAAUACGGUGUGCCAAAAACCAAAUCAACAGGAAGAGUUAUCUCUCUUCCAUACAUCAUUUUAUUUGGGGUUACUCUAGUUGAUUCAUGAACGGAUGAACGAUAAGCCAUCAUUAUCAUAGAAAUAUCAACAUUAUUCAGAGGAUCCUCAAAACCAGAUGAAUGGUCCUGUUGAUAAGAGGUAGAAGGCAUAUUAGUGAUAUCUGCAGUGCCAAUGCCAACCAUCCGGAAUGAUAUAGGUGGAAUCGGAUCUCCCUCUAUGUCAGUGGCACUGGCCAGUUUUUCACAGCCUCGAUUUUGGCAGGAUCAGUAGCAAUACCUUCUGCACUAACAAUGUGCCCAAGAAUCAUUCAGAUUUGGUAUACUCCUAUCGAGCACUUCCCUGACAUGAUCAGGGGGAACAACUGUGUCUUCAGUUACAGCAAGCCUGCACACUUUUGGCUCUGCAUCAGCUAAGAAGAGAUUGUAAGUGAGAAGCGGACAAUCGCUGCAGAUGCUUUGUUAGAAGCUGCAUAUCCUGUCGCAAACCCUGGACAGCUUCAUUGAAUUUUGUCUGUUCAUGACAAUCUCCAGACAGGUUUUGUUCCUUAGAUUGUCCGACUGCAUGGACCCGAUGUGUCUUCUGUCGGUCUGCCAUUCUAAAAGCCUCCAGCUGUACAGCUAACAGCUCAGCUUCACCUAUAUCCUUGACUCUGGCUUCACGAAGUCGAAGCCUCAUAUCGGUAUCUGGUAAAGCAUCUAUAAAAUAAUCUCUUGCGAGGGUUGACACCACGUUGGUAGGUGCUUCCGGGUAUGCUUGUCUUGAAAGCUUCUUGAUCGACUGAGCAAGAUCAGAUAUACUUUCAUUUCUCUGCUUGGUUUUAGUCUGAAGGGUGGCCUUAAAUAUUUCAGACCUACUGGUUGAGCCAAAUCUAAGGUUUAAUAUCUGAACAAGAUUAUCACAGUCCCUCCUUUGCUCAUGGGAUAAUUCAUUUAGCAGGGACCUUGCACUUCCUUCAAGGCUACUGGCUAGGUAUAGGGACUUAGUCUUAUAAUCCCAGCGAUUUAAUUCUGAUAGGACUCCAAACUGAGCAAGAUAAUCUUCAAGCUCCUCACUUCCAUUGUAACUUGGUGGUCGCAUUUUGGUGGGAGCAGGCAUAUGAUUAUUUGGAGUAGUCUCCCUUGAAUGAUAAAACCCCUGUGUGGGUUCAUCUUGACAUGUCAAACUACUACUACCAGGUUGUGUCCCUAACCUUGUAGCCGGGGUUCUACCAUAACUAUUGUUUAUAUCUGUAGUUAACUCAUUGCAUGGAUUUUGUAGGGUGUGUAUUGGAACACCACAUGUUUGUCGUGAGGUUUUCAAUUCCUUCACCUCAGAACUAACCUUUUCAAUUUCUAAGAUUGGAGGACAUCAGCUACGGACAAAGUGUCAUCAACAGUCUCAUCCAAAACGGUGAAGUCAGGGUCUUCCAUACUAGAACCUCUUGAGGGAAUCCAAUACUAUCAUUUAAAUUCUGAUGACAAGGCACAGAUUGCUCUUUGAAUGUGAUCUCGGAAUCGCUCAUGUCUGAAAAAGGGUUCACCAACUACAGAACUUCACUAGAUCCCACUUCUGACACCAAUUGUUGCGUGACCAACCCUCCGGCUGGCAACCAACGUAUUUGCAGGCGUUCUGUAGCUGUAGGUGAAGACCCCCUGCAAUAACCCAGACACGAACAGAUAACAGAGUACUUCAAUUAAGAACAACACAAACUUUAUUACAUAAAUAUAUAUAAUAAUUAAUACAAUAUUUAAUAAUUAAUAAUUAAUAUUUAAUAUUUAAAAAUGUACAUUGAAGUUAAAAGUUUUACUAGUUCCACGUUGAAAAUAAUUAUUAGUACCGGUACUUAGUUUUUUACAGUUGUGAAUAUAUCAGGAUACUUGGUGUAUGCCAUACACGAUUCAGGAACUUCUGGAUUGGUACGGUUUUCCUGUAAAUAAAAAUAUCAAGCCCAAGAGAAGUUAUCCCCCUUUAGUGCCCAAAUUCGGUUCCAGACCACCUUAUUUACGUUCCCCAACUCCCUGCAGCAUUUCCACUAGAAACCUUGACCCUGUUAACGACGUGAUGGCAGAUAGCAAUCGACUUCGGUCAAGCAGCAUCUCUACCCUGGAGCCUUUCAAGUAUUCUUAAGAUCAAUCACUUUAUAUUUCAAACUAUUCUAACAGUAGUAGCACCUAUUGUUUUACUAGGUGAGGAUUUAUUAUAAAACAUGAUCGGUACAUUUUCAUUCCUAUAAUAUUAUACGAUAUUUCAUGAUGUUUUUCAAGCGCUUAACGGCUUCUACUAUUCGCCGCUUUAAGGAAUUGGCUCUAGACUAUAUGCUAUCUCCCUCCACGUCGGACAUUGAAAGCUAUGCUUUCAAUAUUGUUUUUCCAAUGAAUUGUAAAUAUUUAUUUUAAUACAUAUUGCAUACAGUAAUCAUAUUCGCCGUUGCCUUAAUCGAAUAAAUAACUUUAUUGGCCUUGGUAAAUACGGCGU